CCUCCUGCCUUAGCAUCCCAAGUAGCUGGAACUACAGGCACAUGCCAUCAUACCCAGCUAAUUUUUUAUUUCCUGUAGAGAUGGGGGUCUCACUAUGUUGCCCAGGGUGGUUUAGAACUCCUGGCCUCAAGUCAUCCUCCCACCUCAGCCUGGGAUUAUAGGCGUGAGCCACUGUGCCCAGCAUUAGUUUAUUUGUAAUGCUUUUUUACAUCCUAGAUGAGCACAAUGCCUGGACUCCCCACCCGGCCCUGUUUUUAUGAUAUUGAUUUGGACCCUGAAACACAACAGGUGAAUGGAUUAUUCUAAACAGAUCAUCAUCCAUCUUCAAGAAGCUACCUUGAAAGUCUGGCCAGUGUCUAUUCAGGCCCACUGGGAGUUAGGAAGUAUAAGUAAGCCAAGAGAAGUCAGCCCCUGCCCAGAAGAUCUGAAACUAAUAGUAGGAGUUUCCCCAGAAGUCAUUUUCAGCCUUAAUUCUCAUCAUGUAUAAAUUAACAUAAAUCAUGCACGUCUGUUUACUUUAGUGACGCUCCACAGAAUAAAAGGAAAUAAUUUUGC
rnacentral:sRNA from 1 species